CCUACGGGACGCAGCAGUGGGGAAUAUUGGGCAAUGGGCGCAAGCCUGACCCAGCAACGCCGCGUGAAGGAAGAAGGCUUUCGGGUUGUAAACUUCUCUUGACAGGGAAGAGUAGAAGACGGUACCUGUCGAAUAAGCCACGGCUAACUACGUGCCAGCAGCCGCGGUAAUACGUAGGGGGCAAGCGUUAUCCGGAUUCACUGGGCGUAAAGGGAGCGCAGGCGGCAUGGCAAGUCUGAUGUGAAAACCCGGGGCCCAACCCCGGGAGUGCAUUGGAAACUGCCAGGCUGGAGUGUCGGAGGGAU
rnacentral:rRNA from 1 species